ensembl:lncRNA
CACACACACACACACACACACACACACACACACACACACGUAGACGGGUGUCACGGUGUGGUUCACUUCCUGUCUUAUUUUGUAGUUUUCUGCCACUUGUGUCCCCGGGUAACUUCACUUCCUGCUUGGUCCUGUCGUCCCCUGUGAUUGUCUGAUUGUUUCCACCUGUGUCCAAUCACCUGCACCUCCCUUGUGUAUUUAGGCAGUAUGUGUUGUUUGUCACUUGUGGCGUCAUUGUCUUUUGUCCUGGAUGGUCCUCGUUCCUGGCAGCCUUUUUCCCCCGGUACUUGUAUGUGUUUUUUGCCCGUUGGCCUUUUGCUUUGUUGGAGUUCAUGACUAUUAAAGUCUUUUUGCUUUAAAGUCUGUGUUUGAGUCCUGCCUUCCUACCAAACCCUGACAACGGGUGCACAAACACAACAUUCAAGACAUUGCCAAGAGGAAAUCAAUAUGUGGUGUGAUGUUGAUAUCUUCAUGUGACUGAAACAUGUUUUUCUGGCUGUGAGAAUCACAACUGAGAAGUUAACAUAUGUUCCGUUCCCAGUGAAUGUGUGUAGAGAGAGAAAGGGGAAGUGGAUUAAACACAGACAGGAAGAAUCAGGUAAAGUGCUUCAUUUACUUUGCAAAAGAACAAAAAGAACAUAGAAGCAACUUAAGAAUAAUUGAUGACUUUACUGCCAAAAGCAAAUUGAAUCAAAUGAUUAAAACUUUCCCUGUAACUGCAGAUACUGACAAUCAUCACGGUGACACGGUGCAUGCGGCUGAGGUACCGGCAGCGACCUGCCGAUCUGUCAAUCACACUAAGCCUGCCAAAUCACACCGUGCUUCAUGGGAACCAUAGUUUACCAAAUGAACAUCAUGCUGUUCUGAAGAAUGCUUCACACAUUGAGACCAUAAACAUACAAUGUUUACUGAGGGAAUCAAAUGAGGGGUAUGUUCACUGUCCUCUGGACUUCCAUAGGUUUUGCAAGCAUUUGGCUUUAGCCACCUGGGUGUAACUUGCAGUCUCAGUCCUUUUCUCUGUAAAACAUAUUAAGCAGUCUAACUGCAGUUUCUCGGGCAUUGCAUUAUAUCCAGCCGGUGAUAACUUCGGACUGCUUACUGCCGCCUCAGUAAUUAACCUUCAAACUAUUAGUCGUGUUCAAACAUGCAGCCCGACACUAAUGCAGCAAGCUGUUUAAAAAGCACCAUGGGUAAUUGGAUUUUUGGCACAAGAUUGGUCACUGUGUGUGUGUGUGUGUGUGUGUGUGUGUGUGUGUGUGUGUGUGUGUGUGUGU